rnacentral:rRNA from 1 species
UACGUAGGGGGCAAGCGUUGUCCGGAUUUAUUGGGCGUAAAGAGCGUGUAGGCGGCCAGGUAGGUCCGCUGUGAAAACCCGAGGCUCAACCUCGGGACGUCGGCGGAAACCAUCUGGCUAGAGUCCGGAAGAGGAGAGUGGAAUUCCCGGUGUAGCGGUGAAAUGCGCAGAUAUCGGGAAGAACACCCGUGGCGAAGGCGGCUCUCUGGGACGGUACUGACGCUGAGACGCGAAAGCGUGGGGAGCGAACAGG